ACAAGAAUGAAACAUAGAAGUUGCUUUUGAUCCCCAUAGCUUUCUGCCAAGGUACAGAGUGGGAAAUUCUGAUGGACUGGAAUCAUCACAGGGAGAUGGCAACAGACUUUUGCUGGGAACCUAUUCCUUGCUGCUUCAAGCAAGAUCAAAGAUGCUGCCAGGCAUGCCGAGUUUUUCCAGUACUUCCUUUCUUCCUUUCAAAUUUUGAACAACCAGAGUAU